rnacentral:tRNA from 1 species
GCCGUGGUGGCGGAAUGGUAGACGCGCAGGACUUAAAAUCCUGUGCCCUUUAAAGGCGUGAGGGUUCGAGUCCCUCCCUCGGCA